GCGAACUAAGUACGAGUAGAGCGAGGCCCUUCAGACACUAUCCAACUAAUUAUAUACCAAGCACUGCUGCUUGGGAGGUUUUGUUCGAUUUAUUGCAGGUUUUGGAUGCGAGAAUUGAGCUCAGUUCUUGGCGUAGACAUCUAACUUUAUUCCAAGUUAUUAUUACCCUGGUACCUUCUCAAUUUCAUACGGAGAGAGUUAAAAUGGAAAUUGUGUGGCGCUCAACCAUUGGUAAGGACGAAGAUCAAAUGCUCAGAACGAACUACUGCUAUAACAGAUCUCAAGCUUGUAUUUUCUUUAUUAACCCGGAGCUAGUUUAUGCGGUGGAUUUGAGGAAAUGCAGCACCAACUCUCCCAAGUGCCAAAGGAAUAAAGGGACUGGCUUCUUGGCUUAUUAUGCAUUCAUUUUAAAGACGCACACGGUUAGAAGAUGCUCAUAUCCGACUCGGUUGUGCUUACUGUAAUUUAACGAGAAAUAUACUACCUACCAUGUUAGUGGGAGUUGUCGAGGAUGUAAGAGAAGGUAGCAUUAAUUUGCAAAUUAUCUAAUCAGAUAAGAUUUUAAACGAUAACAUCUCUAUUUGCUAUUAUUACCGGUUUUCGAUGAUACGUGGCACAAACCUUCGUACGAAGGUAUCGGAAUAAAGUUUUGAUGAUGAGGCAUAGGUUUAUUUAUGCGAAGAGAUAUAUCAUUAGAACUAUUG